rnacentral:rRNA from 1 species
AUUGAACGCUGGCGGCAUGCCUUACACAUGCAAGUCGAACGGCAGCACGGGAGCAAUCCUGGUGGCGAGUGGCGAACGGGUGAGUAAUAUAUCGGAACGUGCCCAGUAGUGGGGGAUAGCCCGGCGAAAGCCGGAUUAAUACCGCAUACGACCUGUGGGUGAAAGCGGGGGAUCGCAAGACCUCGCGCUAUUGGAGCGGCCGAUAUCAGAUUAGCUAGUUGGUGGGGUAAAAGCCCACCAAGGCGACGAUCUGUAGCUGGUCUGAGAGGACGACCAGCCACACUGGGACUGAGACACGGCCCAGACUCCUACGGGAGGCAGCAGUGGGGAAUUUUGGACAAUGGGCGCAAGCCUGAUCCAGCCAUGCCGCGUGUGGGAAGAAGGCCUUCGGGUUGUAAACCACUUUUGUCAGGGAAGAAACGGCUCUUACUAAUAUUAGGGGCUAAUGACGGUAC